rnacentral:lncRNA from 1 species
GUGUAUUGAGGCUUCUCCUCUGUGUGCGUGUGUGUAUUGAGGCUCCUCCUGUGUGUGUGUGUCUUUCUCUCUCUGUGUCUGUGUGUGUGUGUCUGUGUUUGUGUUACAAAAGUUCUCUGAUAUGGAAAGCUCCCUCUGCCCACAAUGCCACUUGACGUUCAGAACCUUCCAUAAUGGCUCUCCAGAGGAAGAUUUUGAACCACUUUCUCAAUUCCUUGAUCCUAAAGGCUGUCUACAAAAGUUCUCUGAUAUGGAAAGCUCCCUCUGCCUUGGGACUGAACUGUUGAGCUGUAAAUAGAAUAGGAGAAUUAUUUUCCUAUUAUAUUAGUUUCCUAUUUCUGUAAAUAAAUAGUUUUAUUAGUUUCCUAUUUCUGUAAAUAAAUAGUUUUAUUAUUUAGGAAUAAGUUAGUUUAGGAAUAAGUUAGUUUCUUAUUAUGUCUCUUGUAAUCUCCUAUAUAAACUGUGCGUAUAGUCAAUCUAAUAGACAUAAUUUAUUAUUUUUCAUCCCAUAUUUCGUGUCAUGAACCUUUGCCCACAAUGCCACUUGAUGUUCAGAACCUUCCAUAAUUUCUCUCCAGAGGAAGAUUUUGAACAACUUUCUCAAUUCCUUGAUCCUAAAGG